UAGAAAAAGUGCAGCCCUUCCUCCGCAGCCCUUCCUUUUUUUUUCCCCUAGUGUUGGUUUUGAAGUUAUUAUGCUGUGGGUCAUGAGUUGACCCACAGGUUCAGGAUCGUAUUAUAGAUUAUGUUUCCGCUACGAGUAAAUAUUAAUUCGAGAUUUAUUAAGCGUUGAUUGUAAUUAGUGAAUCUUAAGUGUGUUUAGCUAGCAGCUCGAAAGUGCGGGCUGUUACAGAAUUUGGAGUCAUGUUAAGACAAAAGGGAAGAGCUGAAAAUUUCUGGUAUGCACCAAGUGGAAGGGAGCCACAUUAAUGAACUCAAAUUGGUUGACCAAGUUUGAAGUAAUGCACCCAUACCUUCCUCUUAUAUACCUUUCCAUCCUACAUAAUUUUCAUCACCAAAACCAACCAAAAUUGAUCUGCCCAAAAACACUUCCUCCUUCCUCUCUUCACUCGCCAGUUCUGGCGGAGCAUAUUGGGAAGAAAAGGAAUCACCAUUUCGAGGCCAAGAAGUUCAAGAAAAAGAGCUAUCUUCUUCAACUAGAAAAAUAGUGUUUAAGGAUUCCAAAGAAGUUAAAAUCUCAUCCUAAGGAGAAGGAGAAGUCGGAUCGUACCAAUUACAAAUUGAGAUAUGCAAAUUCAAUCCCUUUUUGGAAGAUAAGUAUUGUGAAAACUAUUCGAAGUAUUUUUGAGAGGAAAAUUGAGGAUGAAUUCUUGGUUUGUAUGACUAUUAGCUACUGUAUUUUGAUUGUAAUUAAGUAUAAACCCUUGCAUGUUGGAAAAGCAAAUGAAAUGGGGUUUCUUUCUUAUACUAGAAAAUGGUUAAAUGUGGCUGUAUUCGGUUUUUCGUAAAGGAUUGAUUUGUAUACCAGCGUAAGCUGAAUUUUGUUCUAUGUA